rnacentral:rRNA from 1 species
AAGAGUAGAGUCCAGAGCAGAAGGUGGAGACGGAUCCGAGAGUUAGAACUAUAGAGAUCGAGCACGUCGAGACUUGAACAAAACAACCAACAGUAGAUUGGUAGCAAGCUAGACGGUGGACCACGUACCUACCUACGGACCCACGUACCGCUAAUGCGGUUGUGUGUGUGCCACUACUACCAAUCUACUGGUAGUCGUUUGUACAAGUACUCUGUACGCAUGACUCGAGCAGUACAAACUACCAACUACGCACGGCUGUACCUAAUGUACUACUGCGCCCACGUCCAGUCCAAAGUACGUAGAAUAAGAGUCGGCGCGCGAACAGGCACUCCCAUUUGUACUACAUAAGAAGUAGUAAAGGAGUAACACCUUACCUGGUCCAUCCACUUAAGUAUAUACAAACUAAGCCAAACACAGCAACACACGUUGCUUGCGUCCUUAUAAAUAUACUAACUCAAGGAGUGAACGGCUUUGUAGUUUUAAGGCCCCCAGCGCUACUCAAGGUGGAUGUUUAAUAACCGUGUUCUCUUAGAGUCCAAAAAAAGUUAGUGGUAACCCCCUCUCCUAAGAUAGUCCCAACACGACCUCGUGUUCCUCUCCAUAACGAUGGUUCUGUACCGCUGUUGGAAAUCUCAUCCAAGGAACUUAAGUAUAUCCGGGUUUCUAGUUUAAGGGGUUGUUCCAAACUCUAUCAAUGUUUCCUCCGCGCACUCCGUAGUGCCUCGUGGAAACGCAAGUACCUUACAGUUUUUAACGUUACCUAACUAUCCCAUUAACUAUGGGUAUACGGCAACAGUGCCGGUAAAUCCAAACCCCACAGGUUUUAAACGGUCUGCCUCAACCUGGAGCACUACGGUUUCAGUUAGGCCUGUUCUAUCCAUCGGUCCGCAACGUUGCUUCCGUUCGAAAGAAUCGUACUACACGAACACUUUUUCCAAACGGAUCCUCAACUCGUUCAGUACCUUCUCGUUAGAGCCACUGUGAUAUAACUUUACUUACAAAGUCUAAGCCGCUGAAACAUCCCUUAAAAACAUUUUUUUUUUUUGGUGGACACGUUAACUUAACAGUCUUUUCUGGGAGAGACUCUGCUAAACUGUUUUUCCUGGGGGAGCUGGCACCGCCGUCCGCGUCGCUGUGUACCGUGGACGGCGGUGCCGCAGUCCGCCGUCCGACGCGCCUUGCCUUUAGUCGACCGCGCUGUCUUGCCUGAUCGCGAUACCUGGGGACGGCGGACUCGCCGACCGCCGUCCUGACAUCGUCGGCCCGGGCCGGCGGAGUCCCCGACCGCCGUCCGGACGAGUAGCCGCAGCAAAGACCGUGACACAAGUAGCCGAACCGGACAUAAGGAACGAAUCAAUGAUCAUGAGGUCAUCAAUUGUGCUCGUCUCCGGAGUUAGUACGUACGUACGGGUACGCUGUAGGUGGAGAAAUUUGUUUCGUUUCAUGACGGCAUGUACGCGCUGCGUCCCGUUCACCCAUGUCUAGCCUAGGAUAGCCUUAAAAACAGUUUCUCUGGUGGACGAUGUCGCACGGCGGU